rnacentral:rRNA from 1 species
GUGGGGAAUCUUGCGCAAUGGGCGAAAGCCUGACGCAGCCAUGCCGCGUGAAUGAUGAAGGUCUUAGGAUUGUAAAAUUCUUUCACCGGGGACGAUAAUGACGGUACCCGGAGAAGAAGCUCCGGCUAACUUCGUGCCAGCAGCCGCGGUAAUACGAAGGGGGCUAGCGUUGCUCGGAAUUACUGGGCGUUAAGGGCGCGUUGGCGGACAGCUUAGUCAGAGGUGAAAGCCCAGGGCUCAACCUUGGAAUUGCCUUUGAUACUGGCUGUCUUGAGUUUGGGAGAGGUGAGUGGAACUCCGGGUGUAGAGGUGAAAUUCGUAGAUAUUCGGAAGAACACCAGUGGCGAAGGCGACUCACUGGCCCAAUACUGACGCUGAGGCGCGAAAGCGUGGGGAGCAAACAGGAUUAGAUACCCUAGUAGUCC